rnacentral:rRNA from 1 species
AACGAACGCUGGCGGCAGGCUUAACACAUGCAAGUCGAACGAGAUCUUCGGAUCUAGUGGCAGACGGGUGAGUAAUGCCUAGGAAUCUGCCUGUUAGUGGGGGAUAACGCGGGGAAACUCGCGCUAAUACCGCAUACGUCCUACGGGAGAAAGCGGGGGCUCUUCGGACCUCGCGCUAACAGAUGAGCCUAGGUCGGAUUAGCUAGUUGGUGGGGUAAUGGCCCACCAAGGCGACGAUCCGUAACUGGUCUGAGAGGAUGAUCAGUCACACUGGAACUGAGACACGGUCCAGACUCCUACGGGAGGCAGCAGUGGGGAAUAUUGGACAAUGGGCGAAAGCCUGAUCCAGCCAUGCCGCGUGUGUGAAGAAGGUCUUCGGAUUGUAAAGCACUUUAAGUCGGGAGGAAGGACUGUAGGCUAAUACCUUGCAGUUUUGACGUUACCGACAGAAUAAGCACCGGCUAACUUCGUGCCAGCCGCCGCGGUAA